GUCUGGUCAAAUUCAGCUGAGCCGGAACUACGUUUCUGGAAUUACCUCUGGGUUGGGGUUGGCCGUAAGAAAAAUCCGCAUGAGGUUUGGAAAGUGGAAGUGAAUGUUGGAAGUGGCCGUGGUGUUUAUGGUCAGAUGAUGAGGACAGACACUGUUGCAGCUCAUGCAUGCUGGCAUGCCUCUACAGGGUCUCCUUCUCUCUCUUUUUUUUUUUUGGUGUGAUGUAGCAGCCAGGUCCGCACCUGCUUCAGCUCCCAUUGGAUUUUCUCCUUCAGUUUCUUCUUCUUGUUGUUUUUUGUUUUUGUUUUUUGGUUCGGUUUUUGGAGGGUUCUUAUUUAUUUUCUUAGGAGGUAAUUGAAAGCAGAUUAUCUCAGAGUCACUUUUGUGAUUUAGCUAAGAAACUACUACCAGGACAUAGAGUGAAAAUUUUCUUCUUCUUUUUUUUUUUUUUAAAUUGAAGUAUAGUUGAUUUACAGUGUUGUGUUAAUUACUGCUAUACAGCAAAGUGAUUCAGUUAUACACAUAUAUAUACAUCCUUUUUUAAUAUAUUCUUUUCCAUCACGGUUUAUCAUAGGAUAUUGGAUACAGUUGUCUGUGCUCUACAGUAGGACCUUGUUGUUUCCCUUCCAUUUCUUCUUCAUCUCUUGGAUCAAUUUCUUCAAUGAAGGCUCCACUUCUGCCGGUCAGCCCCUUGACGGAAGCUACAGGUUCGGACACAAGGAGAGACAGCGUGGGUUCCAGUUCCUUCCCCAGAGAGCACAGGAGUGUCCACAGCUUCUCUAUGGUUCACUGGUCUCCCGGGCCACCUGCUUCCACUGUUGGCACGGAAAGCAAGGAUUAUCAAGGGAAGCUCAGGGAAGUAGCCAAGUUGUGGGGCGUGGGGAUGAUACGGCCAGAGGCCAGCCUCCUCUUUUUGACCUGCAAAGGCAGAAGGAAGAGGACUGGAAGAGGGAGGAGCCCACCCUACCUGUGGGGAAUCCAAGCCCCGGGAAGGGAAGCCCAGCUGCCCAGGGAUGGCCCUGUCCCAAGGAGGCCACGUGGUUGAUGACGAAACCAGGGAGGUCUCUCACGCAUUCAGCUCCACUGCCUGAUAUUCUGCCGUUAGGACUUCAUUGUUCUGGGUCUUAAUGGGGUUUGAUUCCCGGCUUGUUCACAUCUCUUUCUCCUCCUGCCUAGAAGCUCUUCAAAAGCUGGGGCCCUCGUUUCUUCACCACCAUGUCUCUGAAAUCUUCAGGGCAAUGCCGUGAACGGUACCUACCAGCAUUCACCGGUGUGGACAUUGCCCUUAUAGGAUGCAAGUACUCCUGGGACAGGCCUAUGUCCAUUCGGGGCCCCUAGAGCAGUGACUCUUCAAAACCAGAGGCCUCUUUCACCAAUCCUUCCCCUGCCUGGGCUGGAGAGGUG